CACGUAGGGGACGAGCGUUGUCCGGAAUCAUUGGGCGUAAAGCGCGUGUAGGCGGUCCGGUAAGUCCGCUGUGAAAGUCGAGGGCUCAACCCUCGAAUGCCGGUGGAUACUGUCGGGCUUGAGUACGGGAGAGGCGAGUGGAAUUCCUGGUGUAGCGGUGAAAUGCGCAGAUAUCAGGAGGAACACCGAUUGCGAAGGCAGCUCGCUGGAACGUUACUGACGCUGAGACGCGAAAGCGUGGGGAGCAAACAGG
rnacentral:rRNA from 1 species